GCAGAUCCUGGAAAAAGAAGGUCGUUUGCCGGACGCUGUUAUCGCCUGCGUGGGCGGUGGUUCUAACGCCAUUGGUCUGUU
rnacentral:tRNA from 1 species